UAACAUUCUGGCUAUUUUUAACAUUUUUUACAUUGAAAUGGCGAUAAAAAUGGAAUGGUCAUAAAAAAAAAGAAAAAAAAGUUGAUUUAAUCUGUUUAUGGCAUCAAGAAUAAACCCUAAAAAUUCACUUCUGGAUGAUUUGGCAUGGAUUGACCCAUACGCAACAUUUAACCCAAAUCCAACUCACUAUAAAAGACACUUAUUCAAUAAAUAUACUGACCUCCAUAGAUAGUUCAGGAGCUAGAGGCGCCGUUUCAGCCACAAUAUCAAGUCUUUCUGACCAUGGAAGGCUACUUUGAAAUGAUUUCAAGGCAUCAUUUAAACCUCC